UACGUAGGGGGCUAGCGUUGUCCGGAAUCAUUGGGCGUAAAGAGCGCGUAGGCGGCCAGAUAAGUCCGGUGUGAAAGUCACAGGCUCAACCUGUGAAUGCCGCUGGAAACUGUCUGGCUAGAGUCCGGAAGGGGCGAGUGGAAUUCCUGGUGUAGCGGUGAAAUGCGCAGAUAUCAGGAGGAACACCAUGGCGAAGGCAGCUCGCUGGGACGGUACUGACGCUGAGGCGCGAAA
rnacentral:rRNA from 1 species